rnacentral:rRNA from 1 species
ACGAACGCUGGCGGCGUGCUUCACACCUGCAAGUCGAACGGAAAGGCCCCUUUGGGGGUACUCGAGUGGUGAACGGGUGAGUAACACGUGAGUAACCUGCCCUUGACUUCGGGAUAACUUCAGGAAACUGGGGCUAAUACCGGAUAGGAAUCCUUGCUGCAUGGUGGGGGUUGGAAAGCUUCGGCGGUUUUGGAUGGACUCGCGGCUUAUCAGCUUGUUGGUGGGGUAGUGGCUUACCAAGGCUUUGACGGGUAGCCGGCCUGAGAGGGCGACCGGCCACAUUGGGACUGAGAUACGGCCCAGACUCCUACGGGAGGCAGCAGUGGGGAAUAUUGCACAAUGGGCGGAAGCCUGAUGCAGCAACGCCGCGUGCGGGAUGACGGCCUUCGGGUUGUAAACCGCUUUCAGCAGGGGCGAAGCUUGUGGUGACGGUACCUGCAGAAGAAGCACCGGCUAACUACGUG